rnacentral:rRNA from 1 species
GACAUCCCGGAGACCCUUAGGAACUAGGGGGUGCUUCCAUCUGGAAGAAUCUGGAGACAGGUGCUGCAUGGCUGUCGUCAGCUCGUGUCGUGAGAUGUUGGGUUAAGUCCCGCAACGAGCGCAACCCUUGCCUUUAGUUGCCAGCAGUUCGGCUGGGCACUCUAAAGGGACUGCCGGUGUUAAACCGGAGGAAGUGGGGAUGACGUCAAGUCCUCAUGGCCUUUAUGACCAGGGCUACACACGUACUACAAUGGCCGAUACAAAGGGCAGCGACACUGCGAGGUGAAGCCAAUCCCGUAAAAUCGGUCUCAGUCCGGAUUGGAGUCUGCAACUCGACUCCAUGAAGUUGGAAUCGCUAGUAAUCGUGGAUCAGCAUGCCACGGUGAAUACGUUCCCGGGCCUU